rnacentral:rRNA from 1 species
UUUAUGGAGAGUUUGAUCCUGGCUCAGGAUGAACGCUGGCGGCGUGCCUAAUACAUGCAAGUCGAGCGAACGGACGAGAAGCUUGCUUCUCUGAUGUUAGCGGCGGACGGGUGAGUAACACGUGGAUAACCUACCUAUAAGACUGGGAUAACUUCGGGAAACCGGAGCUAAUACCGGAUAAUAUUUUGAACCGCAUGGUUCAAAAGUGAAAGACGGUCUUGCUGUCACUUAUAGAUGGAUCCGCGCUGCAUUAGCUAGUUGGUAAGGUAACGGCUUACCAAGGCAACGAUGCAUAGCCGACCUGAGAGGGUGAUCGGCCACACUG